GGGUCAGUAGGUUGGUCGUGCCACCGGUACGUACUGGUCUCACUGAUUCCUCCUUCCUGAAGAACCGUAAUGCCAUUAAUCUGGUGUUGCGGGGAAACAGGACUGUUACUUUGAAAAAAUUAGAGUGUUUAAAGCAAGCUAACGCUUGAAUACAUUAGCAUGGAAUAAUGAAAUAGGACGAUCGAUCCUAUUUUGUUGGUUUCUAGGAUUGACGUA
rnacentral:rRNA from 1 species